GGUUCCGGGUCCUCAGGACCAGCAUGGAGGAGCUGGCAGUAUGGCGUGCUUUGGUGAGAGCUAGGCAUGCUUGUUAGUUUUCUGGAGUCUUGAAACACAUGCUGCUUCCAAAUGCUGCCUUUAAAAGGAGUUCUGGAGCUAUGCCCAGAGGCAUAAAGAACACAUAUGUGCAUGGGAGUAAGCAUGUUCACCACGUGGAGCGAAGCAUGCAGACACCAUGAAUGCAGAGGGUUGGGGUGCGGAAGCUCUUUGUCCUUUCAAUGUCUCUCCUUCAUGCAGGAAAGAGGGACAGUCACCCAGAGGCAAGUUCAUGGGCUGUCUAUGGGUCACGGGAGAAGCAACCUCUCUCUGGGGAUUAACUGAGCUGCAUAAAUGUCUGGGGCACUCAAGCAGCCUCACACCUCUACCAACAGAGCCUUCCUUGCUGUGGUGAGGGGGUUCCAGCCCAGGAAUAGGGGCUGUUUCCAGUUAUUCUGAAACGCCAGAGGUCCUGGAACAUUUGCCCUCGGGGGGGGGAGAGGAUGAAGGUUCCAGAAAGGCAUGAUGGACUUUCCUUGCGCCCUCGGCCUCAGACCCCAGUGACGGCGUGGAGGUGUCGGAGGGCAUCUUUAAAAUAUUGCAUUAUUUAAAAAGAUUUACUUCUUUGUAUGUCUAGCCUGGAGAGCAGAUUAACCAAACACAGACCCGUGUGGGAGUAGGCUCAGCAAAGAAUGAUUGUGCCAGACCCAACAACUGCGCUUGAAAGCCAUCUCCCACCUUAACUUCUAGCCUGGACAGGGGCCACUUGACGCUGUUCAAGCUUUGCCUGUAAACGGCACCCGUGAACCCUCGCCUUGCCUGAAGCAUCUGUCAUGCGAGUCAGGCCUGCAGCUCACAGAGGGCUUCCAGAAGAAAUGUGCAUGUGUUCGGGAGGAAGGAACAUAGCACCACCACACAGCGAAAGUUCUCCAAUCCGUGGCUCUGAUGAGCAGCGCCAGAACGUCUCCCAAUUUGCUUUCUGUUUUGUUUCUCACAUUUUUUUUUUCUGUUUUAAAUUGUUUUCUAAAAA